UGUUAGUUAUCACAUUCUACCUUCUGUGUUCUAAUGUUUCCAUAAGUUUUAGGGCAGUUAUAAACCAUUAAAGGCUGAAAAAUGAACUUGGGGCACUCUGUAUUCUUAUGUCCUAACGCCCUCUCCGCCUCGGUGACAUCUUUAAGGCAUAUAUGGAGAAGAAAGAAAACAGCUUCCCAGCCACUCACGUUGGUCAAUAUAUUAUUAGAGCAAUUAACAGCUUCCAGCGGUGAGAGGGGAACCGAAGACCCCUAACUCAUCUCCUCUUAGCUUUCUGGGGUUUGGGUUGGGGUCUAGGCUAGGAUUAAUUUCCCCGUCCCAGUCAGCUAUACAAACAAAUCAUCCAGGACUGGAAAAAUCCAAUUCCAAACAGAGUGUUUAAUUGAUCUCCAUUUAUUCCAUUCCCAGCAACAGGAAAAGACUAUUUAUGCUUGGUACCAGAUGAAUCAGUAUGAUGCCUUUUCCUUCUGGUCGGCUUGCGUUCCCACCAGAGUUGAAAGAAGGAGAAAGUGACUGGUAAUUCAUUUAUGUUCUCCCUCGGAACAUAUAGUAUUUCUAUAAAUAACCGCGGCGUGGUGUUCGGAGAGGCUAACGGUAAUAAUAAGCACGUUUGCACUUUCUCGUAGAUUCCAACGACUUUGGGGCAUUCUUUUUCUUAACUUCACCCAAAGGGCAUCAUUUCUCUGAUUAAGAAAACUUUAAGUAAGGGAAUGUUUAAAGAGAUUUGUCCAGGGUCCAGCAGGAGAUCCAGAAAGCCUUGCACCUCCUUCACAGUUUGGUAGGAUGGAAAGAACCCCCGAUUUUUGUCCAGAAGACUUAAGAUGAAAUCCAAUUUGGGGCACCUGAUAGCAGAAUGAUCCUGGAGCACAGACAAGUCCAACCAACAGAGAGGCUCUCUUGCCUUUUGUGGUUCAGUUGUUUCUGUUUGCAAGAAAUGCUAGAACGUACUUCCUUUGAAACUGGGCCUACAAAAAGAUCGCUGUCACAGGCUAUGGAAGAGCAACUAAAGACAGAACCCAGCAUCACUUCAGUGCUACAAAAAGGCAGAAGAGGACUGGACUUAAUAUCAUCCUCCCCAUGUGACAGAUAACAAAAUCAAGGCUUAGGGAAGUGGUUAUUUUCUCCAAAACUGAUUGUCAAUAAAUGAUGAAUCUUAGCGUC